GUGCUUGUUUCAGCAGCACAUAUACUAAAAGCUGGAACAGUACAGAGAUUAGCAUGGCCCCUGCGUGAGGAUGACAAAAAAUUCAUGAAGCAUUUCAUCUUUUU
ensembl:snRNA U6 U6 spliceosomal RNA